GCCGAGGUGGCGGAAUGGUAGACGCAAGGGCCUUAAGAGCCCUCGAACCAUUAGGUUCGUGGAGGUUCGAGUCCUCUCCUCGGCA
rnacentral:tRNA from 1 species